GGUAUCUGAGAGUGGCGAACGGGUGAGUAACACGUAGGUGAUCUACCCUCAAAUCGGGGACAACCCAGGGAAACUUGGGCUAAUACCGGAUGAGUGCAGUAAUGCAUAAAAGGUGGCGUAAGCUGCCGUUUGGGGAUGAGCCUGCGCCCUAUUAGUUAGUUGGUGAGGUAAUGGCUCACCAAGGCGAUGAUAGGUAGGCGGCCUUAACGGGUGGUCGCCCACACUGGGAUUGAGAUACGGCCCAGACUCCUACGGGAGGCAGCAGUCGAGAAUAGUCUACAAUGGACGAAAGUCUGAUAGUGCGACGCCGCGUGAACGAAGAAGCCCUUCGGGGUGUAAAGUUCUUUUAUAUGUGAGCAAUGCUUCUUAGGUGAAUAGUCUGAGGAGAGAGAUAUUAGCAUAUGAAUAAGCAACGGCUAACUCCGUGCCAGCAGCCGCGGUAACACGGGGGUCGCGAGCGUUGUCCGGAAUUACUAGGCGUAAAGGG
rnacentral:rRNA from 1 species